GACGAACGCUGGCGGCGUGCCUAACACAUGCAAGUCGAACGGUCUUAGGAGUGAGAAGUUUACUUCAAACUCCCAAAGAUAGUGGCGGACGGGUGAGUAACGCGUGAACAAUCUGCCCUUAAGUCCGGGAUAACAUCGGGAAACUGAUGCUAAUACCGGAUAUGCUCCCACUAAAACAUUUUAGAGAGAGGAAAGGGAUUACCGCUUAAGGAUGAGUUCGCGUCCCAUUAGCUAGUUGGUGAGAUAACAGCUCACCAAGGCAACGAUGGGUAGCCGGCCUGAGAGGGUGACCGGCCACACUGGGACUGAGACACGGCCCAGACUCCUACGGGAGGCAGCAGUGGGGAAUAUUGCGCAAUGGGGGGAACCCUGACGCAGCAACGCCGCGUGAGCGAAGAAGGCCUUCGGUCGUAAAGCUCUGUCAUAAGGGACGAAGUCUCUAUUUAGUAGAGGUGACGGUACCUUAAGAGGAAGCCCGGCUAACUACGUG
rnacentral:rRNA from 1 species